AAAGCGAGUUUUAACUGAGCGUUCAGUUACUUGACGUAGACCCGAAACCGGGCGACCUACCCAUGAGCAGGAUGAAGCGAAAGUAAAAUUUCGUGGAGGUCCGAACCCACGAGCGUUGAAAAGCUCGGGGAUGACUUGUGGGUAGCGGUGAAAUUCCAAUCGAGCCCGGAGAUAGCUGGUUCUCCCCGAAAUAGCUUUAGGGCUAGCCUCAAGGUGAGAGAUACGGAGGUAGAGCACUGAAUGUCCUAGGGGGUAUUGCACCUACCGAAGACUAUCAAACUCCGAAUGCCGUCAUCUUAUACUUGGGAGUCAGACUGUGGGUGAUAAGAUUCAUAGUCGAAAGGGCAA
rnacentral:rRNA from 1 species